AUGUCAGAGAUGCAGUCGCGGUCUAUUGAUGGCACUGAACCUGUCAUGCAACCCGAGGAUGUGCCUCUUCAGCUUCUCCUGGAGGAUCAACGUAAGAGGAAGAAGCAAGAAGAUUUUGUCAAGAAGAGGGCGACCCGCCUUGAGAAAGGUUCUGAUGUUCCUGGAUCUGUUCAUGCGACUGAGCUCACUGUUGAGGAAGACGUGUCGUGUGGUAGUGAUGGCACAGUUGUCCCUGUUAAGAAGAAAAUCAAGAAGACUGCUGCGAGGAAGCUAGUAGUUGGUGAAGUUACUCCUCAGAAGAGCCCACGUGUUUCAAGGCCUGCAGAAGUUUUUGAAGAUGAAGGGUUAGGCCUUGGUGGUACGCCACGUCGUAGUCCUCGUGUGCUUGCCAUUGUCGCGCCUACAACUUCUUUGCUUGGUGUUGGUGCAUCUGGUAAGGGGAAGAAAUGCGACGUGAAGCGCAAGAUUCCACCUGCAAAGGUCAACAAGGGUGUGAAGAAGCGUUCUUGUGUUAAUCCAGAGGACAAGGAUGAUGCUGAUUUCAAUGCUGAUGAUGAGGACGACGUCGAUGAUGAUGAUGCCGCUAAUCAGUAUCAGCUUGUGGAGCGGCCUAAGAGGAGGAAGAGAGGAUGCAAAGCGCCCGAAGAAGGUGGCCAAGGAGGAGGUGAGGCGAAACGUUUUAACAAGACGGUUCGCUGCUCACUAGGAGAGGUGAAGACGUGUGCGAAAAUGCUACAACUUAGGCACAAGACGAGGGUUAUCAAGGCUGGUUUUGGUUGUGUGUUUGACCUGAAGGUUGAUUCCAACAUUUCUCGUCCUUUGAUGGGCAACAUCUACAUGAGGAUUGACCCUACAACCAUGAUUCUGGACAUGGGUGAGGCGAACAAGGUUCUGCGUAUUACAAGUGAUGCUAUUCACCAUCUGUUUGGAUUCCCUCAAGGUAAUCGUACCCCUCCUAGGCCUUCGAGUGAUGGGUUUGAUGAUGCUGUUAUGAGGUUGAAGGGCAAGCUUGGGUACGCUAGGAGUGAUGACAUCAAGACAAAGGAUCUGCGGAAUAUCCUCGCGGAUCUUGUGAAGGAUAAGACGAAGGAUGAUCUUGCUCUGCAGGUGUUUUACCUGAUUGUUUUCAUGAAGGUGGUUAUCCCUGGAACGUCUACACGAGUGUCCAGGGAGGCAGCAAUGGUUGAUAAUCUUGUGUUUGAGGAUAUGGCAGAUAUGGACUACUGCCAGUUGGUUGUUGAUGACCUUCGAAGUGUUGUUGUUAGGUAUCAGCAAGGUACUAGCAGAGGAAAAGCUGUCACAGGUUGUGCCAUCGCGCCACUUCUUAUGUACCUGGACUGCCUUAUCUUUGGCAAGAUGCCUAAUGUUGACUUGAGGACGCCUCGCAUCAAUUACAUGGAUCAGGCCAAGCUUCUUGAGCUCGCUGCGGCUGACUUGGUUAGGAAAGGUGAUGACAACCCAGCCAACUGGGUGUUUGGGAGACUACCUGCUGUUGAUGAUGGUGCUGGGUUUAGGGAGGAUGUUUUACAUGUGCAUGAAGAUGAAGAUGAUCAUGUGCAUGAAGCUGCCCCUGUGCAUGAUCCUUGCCCCUCUAGUGAUGUAUUAGUUGAUGAGGUUCAUGGCAGUGAAAAUAAGCAGCAAAAUGAUGAUGUUAGUGUUGCUCCAGAGAAGGCUGCAGACAUGUCCGUCUCAGGCACCGGCUGCUCCGACGGGGUGGUCCUGACUGAACCUCAGUCGUCCAUUGGCACUGAGGUUUCUGAUGCUGAGCAGGGCAAGACAACUGGAGACAUCAUUUUGGAGAAAGAUCAUGUUGAGUCUGUUGUACAAACUGGUGGUAGUGCUGCUGCAAGCCCGGAGAAGUCUCCUGCAGCAGAGCCAUCAGUUGAUGUUGAUGCUGUACAGGCACAACCAAAUGUUUUUCUUGUUUCAGAUUCUCCGGUUGCUACAGCUGCUGCUGGUGUCCUUCCCGACGACGCUACAACGUCUACUGGAGACGACGGUGAAGAUACCAAAAGCGAUAGCUAUGCAGAGGAGGUUGUUUUCCCUACUUUUGACCCGCCUGAGGUUCCUGCUUCCAUGGGUGGUGUCGGUCAUUGGGUGUCGAUAUUCCUUGACCUGAAGAAUUCAAGGUUCCAGCUUCUCGAUUCCUACUAUGGACCAAAAGAUGAAUGUACGGAAUACCAUCCUAGGGAGGAACCGAUGAGUACAGCUCCGAUAGAAGAUGAUAGACCUCGGACCCUCAUUCCUUCCAAGUUGGGGGAGCAGGAUGGUGGUAUUCGUGGUACUCCAAAAAACCCUUGCUACAGGAAGGCUGAUGUAGUCGAAGCAGCCGAAGCAGAAGUGAUUUCGUCCGAUGUUGAUUUUGAUAAGAUUGCUUACCCGAAGAAUGUUAAACGUGCUGCUGGAACUGUUGCUGGUAGAGGUGGGAAGAAUGUUGUGAUGACCAGGAGGAAACCGACAGUUGAGUCUGGGAACAUAACUACCUCCAAGCGAGCAUCAAGAUUGCCUUUGAAGUGGCGUUCUCCUGUCGCUCCCCUGAAAAAAUACAGUUACCCUCAUCUAUCCGAGGCCCGAAAGUUGAAACAGUAUGUGCUGAGUAAAGACAGUCUGGAGAAGUAUUCUGGGACAAGCUACUGCAUGUUUACCAUCCCUGGGAAUGUGAUUGACCUCACAGGAGAUUUCCUUUAUAGGCUUUUCGGUGAAGGGCGGCAGAUGGAAGGAGACAUAAUGGAUUAUCUCAUAAAUUUGUGGCAGGAUAAGCCAGAGACCUCUGAGAUAUUCUCUAAUGCUGACAGGGUUGUACUUAGUCCCUACUUCAUACAUGUUUUAGUUCUUUGCACCCCUAUCUCCUUUUUUUGCCUUAGUUUUGUUGUAGUGGCAUCUGGGAGGUGUUUUAAUUGUGUUUUGGUGAAUGCACAAUACUGCCUGGAGUAUGAUUUCUACGCCGCAACAGUUCCAAAGUUCGAUGCAAAAAAAUCGGCUAAACUCCUCCCAAUGUUUGUUCGCAAGGAAGAAGACCUUCUUAACGCAAAGCUGGUUUUAUUGAUUCUAUUCAAGCCAAUUGGCACAAUGGUGCACUACAGUGUGUACGUGGUGAAUAGAUAUCGUGGGAGCAUUGACAUACUUGAUUCACUUACUUACGAUAAUAUGGAAACGUCGCGAUCGAGUUUCCACGGGGAUUGCCAAAAUAUCAUGAAGAGAUUUGUUGGGUUGCUCGAGGAGGUGUACGGCAAGGCUGCAUACAAGGCGAGCAAGCAGCCUAACUGGGUGACUAUUGCAAAGAGGCCGACUUUCAUCGAUGUUCCGAAGCAGAAGAAUAAUGAUUGUGGUUUCUUUGACAUGAAGUUCAGCUCUUCGUAUGACGGCAAUGAGAUUGUUGAAGAUUUUGGUGAUGUGGAAGCUGCUGCAGAUGACUGGAAAGCUGAGUUCAUGCACACUCUGGUUUUUAGCGAGAAGAAUGAAGUCAUGCGUUCAAAGCUCCCUAAAGAGAUCCAGUCCUUUGGCCCGUGA
rnacentral:rRNA from 1 species